UCGACUCUUUCAAAUGAUAUUCUUUACCGCGUUCAUACGCCUUGUAAUCAGCUGCGUGUUUAUCCUACGCUUAUUGGUGGAACGCAAUAGGGUUGUCAAGACCCGGUUUAAAACUCACUGAUUCUAGAGCCUCGUUUUCGUCUCUCCGUGAGUAAGACGCUUCCAUGCACGCAGUCUGUGCACACAGUGUGGACCAGUCGUAACAAGGCUUAUUAAUAAACGCUAGAGAAACACUGGUGUGGGAGAUUUGAUAAUUUGUCUCUCCUUCUUCUCAGAGAACGAUUUAUUUUCUACUCGCCUGCCUUCCUGUCAUUGCAUGGGCUACACUUCUUCGCCAGCUUCAGGAUAUUUCCACAUGUGAAAGGUACACCAAAAACAGCACGUGACCUGUGUCCUGCCUGCCUUACACCCCUCUCCAUACCGCCAGCUAUGGCCACCGUAGACUCUGAACCGUUGUCCGGCGAUGGCUCCUCCGUUACUCUUACUAUUCGGUUGAUCAUGCAAGGCAAGGAAGUUGGCAGCAUUAUUGGAAAGAAAGGUGACAACAUAAAGAAAUUCCGUGAAGAGAGUGGAGCCAAAAUUAAUAUUUCUGAUAACUCGUGUCCAGAGCGUAUUGUCACAGUUACAGGAGCCACAGAUGCUAUAUUAAAAGCUUUCACACUUAUUACUAGAAAGUUGGAAGAGGAUUUGCACAACACUCCUGGUUUCAAUGUUCCCAAGCCUCCAGUCACCCUUCGGCUCAUUGUUCCAGCCAGCCAGUGUGGCUCGCUUAUUGGAAAAGGAGGAUCAAAGAUUAAAGAAAUUAGAGAAAUUACAGGGGCAUCUAUACAAGUGGCAAGUGAGAUGUUGCCCAACUCUACAGAGAGAGCAGUUACUAUUUCAGGGACAGCUGAUGCAAUCACGAAAUGUAUCUACCAAACCUGUUGUGUGAUGAUGGAGUCCUCUCCAAAGGGAGCAACAAUACCAUACCGUCCAAAGCCAACAAUGCCACCAGUAAUAUUUGCAGGUGGUCAGGCCUACACUGUUCAGGGGCAGUAUGCUAUCCCACAUCCUGAUGUUAGUAUAUGGUCACCGCUAACCAAGCUACAUCAGUUAGCUCUACAAAAUGCCCCACUUUUACCAACUCAUGCUCUUGGAACUCUAACUGCUCAAGACAUGAAUAAGAAACUGGAGCUGUAUGCUGAUGCAGGAUUGCUUAUGUCACCAGCUUUAGCUUCACUUGCAGCACACGGCAGUCUACGUCCUGGUACUUCUGCCACUCCCAACAUCAUUGCACCUGGAACUGUAACAGAAAUGAAUAUUCCAAAUGAUCUGAUUGGCUGUGUUAUUGGCAAAGGUGGAGCUAAAAUAAAUGAAAUUAGGCAACUCUCUGGGGCCACUAUAAAGAUCUCCAAUUCAGAUGAAAGUUCCAAAGACAGAACUGUGUCAAUAUCUGGAACACCUGAAGCCAUUAACUUAGCACAAUACUUGAUCAAUACAAGCAUCCAGAAUGCUCAGCUUCCAUUCAUUUGGAGAAACAUGGCUUCCAUUCCAAUGAAAUAAGAAACAAUUUAAAAGUUUUCCCGAAUCCCUUGGAUUGUUAUUUCUAUCAUAAUAAUUCUGUGUAACUUUACCGUUCUGCACCUUCUACGUCAGAGAAAAUAUUAGCAUGUUUUUCCACACAGAUCCCGGAAUGACCAAAUAGUAUCACAGGUUCUACCUAGAAAAAUUGUCAACUAAUUAAGUGCCAUACAUAUCUUUGAAAUUCUACAAUCUACUAUACUUUUUUAAUCGAAUAAUGUGAAGGUGUAUUCAUGGUGUUUAAAAAUCACCAUAUCGCUUACUUUGUUUCAAAUGAUUAUCUUUAUUAGAUUAUUUCAAUUAUAAUAUUUAUUCAAUUUUUUUCUCAACUUUUGUGAGAUUUAUUAUAUUUGAUGGUGUGAGUUCAAGUUUUGUAAACUUAAUGCACUUGUUCACAAUGAACUUAUUUUUUUUUUAUAGAUAAGAUCUGUAAUAUCUUCUGUACAGUAGGGUGUAUUUCUUCAUUCUCUUUUGUUCUAUUUUAGAUUUUUAAGAAUGAAGAUUUUAUUUGAUAGUAUGAAAUGAAAUAAUGAUAUAAGUUAAUUGCUGUAGGUAGGGUUUUGUUGUUGACUCACAACAAAAUAUUUUCUUACAUUUAAUUGGUUAUUCUUGUGUUGAACAAUAUAUCUUGUAAGUCGAGUUUGAAACAUACUUGUUUUUGUGUUUUGUUUUCUACCUUAAAAAAUUGGAUUUGCUCAAUAUGUUUAAUUGGCGCUUUGGGAAGCACAUCAGUGCCUUUCAGUUGUUUUUGUAUAGAAAAGUUGGUGUCUAAAUUGGAUUAAAACUGAAAGUAUUCCUAUGAAAUUCAUGGUAGUAUACUGAGAGAAAAACAUGUUAAGGGUUUGUAACUUAAAUUAACCAGAAUUGUAUUACAUAGUACAAAAAAUUGAUGAUUCUAAUACUAAUAAAUACAAACUUACCCACUUGUCUUCUGCUAUCAUGAAUCGUCUUUAAUAGUUUCUAUUUUAUGAAAUGAAGUUUCACAAGUAUCAUUAGAUAGAAAAGUUUUAACUUAAUUAAAGGCAUUAAAAAAAGGGGAAAAAAUGUUUCAAACAGAACAUUUCUUGUGAAUUUUAGGGUGAGAAAUUUGAUGUGAAGUUAUUUUUCAAAGCUCUGUAUUGCUCAGUUUGGCUUUUAUUUUCACUUUUAAUGAUUAAAACUUGAAAAAUGGUUCUAAAAAAGUUAUCCUAGUUUGAUUACUACUGUUGCAUAUUAAUUGACUUAAGUUUGAAUAAUUGGCUACAGAGAAUGCAUGAAUUUUCUAUAUUUUUUGUUCAUACAUAUAAAUAAUAAUAGCACUUUGAAAUUUAAGAAAUAUCUCAAACUUUGCUUAAUACCUAUCAAAAGUUUUUUAUGGUAUCAAGCAUGCAUUUUUCUGUAUAACAAAAUGUUUAUUAGUCUACAAUUCAAAUAAUCUAUUAAUCAGAAAUUAAGGUAUUAUAUUUGUUGUAUUGCUCUGGAGAUGUGUGUUUCUGUUGAACAAACCGUUUCUGCACAUAUAGUUAGUAAUGUACUUGAUGUUAUUGGUUGUCAUAUUAUGUGGUAGGCUAGUUUUAUAGGUAUGAUAACUGUAUACUUCCAUUUGGAAUUUUAAAGCUUACCUAAACUUCUUAGAACUGAAUACUGUUGUAGUGUUAUUAAACACAUCACAUAUACAUAUCAAGUACUUGUAGAAAUAUAUUUUCUGCACAUACACUUCACCAACCUGUCCUUUCAAACAUACAUAUCAAGUACUUGUAGAGAUAGAUUUUCUACAUAUAAUUAAUGUAAUAAUUUGAUAUUCAUUAGUAUCUGAAACAGUAUCAGUAUUUUUUUCUUUAAUCCAGAGUAAGUUGAGUUUUUUUCAAUAUCGUCAACUUUAUAUUACAAACAAAAAAAAUGCUAUCCUAAUUAUAGACAGGAUUUUUGAAAGUAAUAUAACUCCACAAAUUUUGAAUGAAAGAACUUGUGCAAUACAAUAUUUUCUUUGUGUAUUAUACUACUUUUAGAAUAUGAACUAUUUUCCUUCAUUUAACUAAAUUAAGGUCAUUAACAUUUAAAAAAAGAGUAAAAAAAGUUUCAACUAAAACAUUUCUUGUGAAUUUUGUGGUGAAAAAUUUGAUAUGAAGUUAUUUUUUAAAAAAUCAGUAGUGCUAUUUUUUUUUCUCUUAUUUUCACUUUUAUAAUUAAAACUUGAAAAACGUAAGCAUUUAAUGUUUCAUAUGUACUCUAAGUGCAGCAGUACAUAUAUACUGUAAGUUAUAUAAUUACCAUCAUUAUGAGAGGAAAUAAGUCAUUAGUUUUUAGGUUAGAUGUUUCUGUGUUUGAUAAACAUAUAAAAACGUUAUUUAUUAAAAGCAUUUUUCAUUUCAAUAACAAAUUAUUUAAAGUAAAAGUUGUUGAUUUUAUAUUUGUUAAAACUUUUAGACAGGCCAAAGUUAAAAUGAUUAAAGAAAUUUCAGGUUUGAGUUGAAUGUUAAAAGUAACAGUAUUAUUUCACAUUCUUUUUCUAUGUGACAGCUAGUGUACAUUUUUAAUUGUGUAAUUCAAAAAUCAUUUGUCUGACACAAAAUUAGUUGAAUCAGCCCCCCAAAAAUGUUAGGAUAAUAUUUAUGUGCUUACAACACUUAAAUAUUCCUGGAAGACAUUAUUACCAAUGUGCAAUAAAUAUGAACCUGAAACAUAUGUUAACAUGCUAUACCUAUACACUUGUUUGAUUUUAAGAUAAUAGAAUAGCUCAGAUUUUUUAAUUUGGUUAAGCAUUAAAUUAUAAUAGUUAAUAGCUCAUUCAUAAAUAUAACUAACUGCUAAGUUAUUUUCAUAACAUCAUAUACAAAAAUUUGUGAUAGCAUUCAAUGUUUCUAGUUUCUUACAAAUACAAAAUUGUUUAUAACAUAAAUAGCAUUUUGAUGCAACUUUGAAACAGUCACUCUUUUGUGUAUUAGGUAGUAGGGAGGUAAAUUGUUUAGUCAUAAUAAUUUGUGUUUGAUCAAGAGUAAUUACAUGCUGCAACAUAAUACUAAUAAUUUUUUAAUCAAGUUAAGACUUGUUAAUAUAAAGUGCUCAAAAUAAUAAUGUCUAUAGAAGUACUUAGGUGUAAGAAAAUGAGAUUUUAUUAAUAAAUGUAAAAAUAUUUGAUAAAAUUUAUUUAGAGCAAAAUUAUGAUGAAUGCAAAUGAUAUACUAAAUAAAGUUCUGUAAUUAGUAAUAGUAUUUAUUAUUUAUCCUAGAAACUACACAAAUUCUUAAACAUAUCACUACAGAAUAUAGAAUCGAUUAUUACAUACAACUGUAUGUUCUUUGUCUAAUUUAAUAAAAAAUAUAUCAUAGACUUUACUUCAAAAUUAUUUCGUUUUCGUUUCAGAAGUAAAUGCCCUAUUACAAUGGUCUUUUUUUUCCACUUAAAACAAUACUUCUAGAACAUAUUAAUAAGUAUGUGUCUUACAAAAUAAUAAGAAUUUGGUCAUUACAAGUUUGACUCAAUGAGCAUUAAGAAAAAGUCAUUAAAUCAAGAUGUAUGUUCUUUGUCUAAUUUAAUAAAAAAUAUAUCAUAGACUUUACUUCAAAAUUAUUUCCUUUUUGUUUCAGAAAUAAAUGCCCUAUUACAAUGGUAUUUUUUUUUCCACUUAAAACAAUACUUCUAGAACAUAUUAAUAAGUAUGUGUCUUACAAAAUAAUAAGAAUUUGGUCACUACAAGUUUGACUCAAUGAGCAUUAAGAAAAAGUCAUUAAAUCAAGAUUAUAUGUAAGCAAACAUUUAUGUAAGAUAAACAUGUUCAGUGUGGAAGACUACAAAUAAAACACUGAAUUUUGUCAAGGUUCUGUGAUAUAUGUAUAAAGAUAUGCUGGAGUUUUCAAUUAAAUUUAAUUUUAUCUUAAUUAUCAGCAUAAUAAGAAUAUAAUUUUAUUAUUAGCUUCUUGAAAUCAACUACAUGACUGAAGAUAAUAUCUGCUAGAUAGUUGUCAUAGAUCUAAUAUGACUUUAUCUAAACCUGUAAGAAAUAUGUGGGGCACACGAAGGUAAAUGAAUUUGCAAGAAUGUGAGCCAGGCAUGCAUGGCCAAGUGGAUUAUAUGCUCAGCUGUCGAUUGGAGGGCUCAACGUUCAAGCCGAAAUAUGCAGCUGAACAUGUUCUGCACUUUCAGCUAUGGGAAUAUUAUAAUUGUGACUGUUAAUCCACAUGUUUGAUUAAUAGAAGAUACUAGGUGGCAUAUGCUACUGACAGUUUGCAUCCUUUCAGUCAGCAGCUCUAAAUUAUAGGUGGUAAUAUCUGAGUCUUGUGAUGUCUGAAUUGACCAUUUAACUCAUCUUGUCAUAUAAAGUGCCAUUCAGGUUCAAAAAUACAAAAUACCUAGUGCAUGAAUAAAACAGGUAGUUGAAGUGAUGCAAUUUAUAAUUCAGACUCAUAGUGUAACACUCCUUCUACACUUAUGUCAAAUGUAACGUUUUUCUGUGCCAAAAGAGAAUAGUAUUUACUAAGAUAGUUGUUUAAAUGCUGAAAGCUGAUGAAGCAUUAGAAACCAAUAGGCCUAAAAGUAAAGUUGCAAAAAUAUCAAUUGAUGAAUUUGUUUUCUUUCUCACAUUCCUGUUAAUUUGUCCAUUGUGGAUUCAAGUAUAAGAUCUGAAAUGCAAUUUUUACAUGUCUCUGGUUUUGAAUCUACAAUGAACAAAUUAAGAGGAAUGUUGGGAAAAAACAUCUACAGUUAAGAUGAAUUUUAUUAUAAAUUUUAGGCCUAUUACAAUUUCUAUAAGUAUUUACUAAUUUUAGGCAUAGUACUUCAAAUAAAGGUUUACUUUCACUAGUGUUAUCUGUUAAUAUUAUUAAUGGUAGUGAAGUUUUUUCAAAAAGCUAUUGUAAAAUUUACACAAAAAUCAGUAACUAUAAAGCAUUGUUGUUAAAUAAUGGAAAUUUAAAACAAAUGAUUUUUUUAUGAGCCUACAGAACACUUUUUUGUGAGUUCUUUGGCCUUUUGGUUAUCAUCUCUAUUUGAAUAUUAUUAAAUUUCAUGAUUUAAAAUUAACUUACUAUAGCAAAACAUACCAUUAAUUUUAUAAGCACUUGAAGCUAGUUUUAGAAAUGUAAUGAAGAAUAGUAUUGCCUAAUGCCUUGCUGUCUAUUUAACAAGCCCUGGUGGCUCAUCAGUAAAUUUGAGAACCUAUCUAACUAAAAAUCAGGUUUCAUUUCAAUACUCACUGUGGGCCGAGCACAGAUAGCACAUUAUGUAGCUUUGUACUUAACACCAUAAAAGCAAACCUCUAAAUGACUUUACUGCCAGUGAUUAAGUUGCAUUUAAGAUAAAUGAUAUAAUCUUUUCAUUUUUGAAAUAAUUUGUUAUAUUAUUAUACUUAGCACAAGAUCAAGAAAUACCAUUUUUAAAGUGCCAAGUUAUUCAAUCACUAAACUGGAUUUUAUUCUUAUAACUUUUUAUAUUUAAGCCUAUUCAGUCUGUCUUGAUAAUUAUGACACAUAAUUCUAAUUAUAAAAUUUGGUUUAAAUGUACUAAGUUCUUUGCAUGAAAACAUUUUAAUGUUGGUAUUCAGUGUAUAAUAUAACAAAAGGGAACUGUAAGAACAAAAAUAUUUACAUAACUUUUUAUGUAGUUUAGACUCAAUAAAAUAUUAUGUUUUAUCUCUAUCAGCACUUAAAAUUUUUAUAACUUUGCUCUACAAGAAAGAUAAUUGCCAAAUUUUAGUGCCAAGUUGUUCAUGUAACUUAUUUGAGAUUUUGUUUAAGCUUUUUUUUUUUUUUUAUCAAAAGGUAUGCUUUUACACCUGACUUAAGCUUGUAUAUAGUUGUACUAGGUACAUAAUUAUAGUGUUUUUACAGCUUCAUUUAUUUGAACCUAUUUUGUAAGAAUUGUCUGUACUUUUGGGGAUUAUACUUAUAACUAUUUUAAUUGAUAGCACCAAAAUGUAGACACUUUGUAAAUCUAGUGCGUUAUUCUUACAACCGUUAUAGCACUGCAUAGCAUUUAAAUGGAUAAGAAUACAGGCUAAGCAAUUUGUAUGUACAAUACCUAUAAGUGCUCCUAAACUAAUAAAAUUAAACAAUAGGAGACUUUAACUUAUUCUUAAUAUUCCUGCACUUUACCAUUACAACAAAUUGAAUCACAAUGAAUCAUUAUAGCAGGUUUAUGUUGAUUACAUAUUAUUUUCUAGCAUUUUGGUGUUACAUUGUUGAAGUUUUCACAGAAUUAUUAUCUGUAUGUUGCAUUGCAAGAUCACAAUUUUACUAGACAUUUUAAUGAAAGUUAAGUCCUUUGUAUCAUAUUUAUUUUUCAUUUACCGUUAUUAAUUGGUCAAAUUAUUGGUUAAUUAUACCAGAUAUAUAUGUUUCCUCUUGUGCACAUUACUCAUGCAAAUAAGAUGUGUUUACAGAGACUAUCAUGGAUAAAUAGUCCCCUGUGUUUUUGCAAAAUACAAAAUAGACAAUUUAGUAUUUCACACUACACAUUUUAAGGUUGCUUCUAUCUAGGUAAAUUUAUAGAUAUUUUUAGAAUAUGUAUACAUUCUCACACAUAAAGGUGACAAUAAAAGCAAUAAUAUCAAAACUUUUAAAGUAAUAAAUAGGUACACAAUUAAAAACAUUUUAAUUAAAGCCUAUCUAUGACCACCAAAAAGUUGACUCUGCAUGUUUCGAUGUUGCAACUUCAUCUUCAGUAAAAAUCAUAAAAAAUAUUCAACGUUAAACUGGUACACAGUUA